rnacentral:lncRNA from 10 species
CGCUCAGAAUUUAGAACAGCACCUGGCAUAUGAAAGGCACAUUGCUUUCAUGACGGAGAUCUGAGGAUCCUUCUAAGAAAUUGUUUAUCCCCAGAGAAAAGACCUGAAGAUACUCACAUUUGUCAGCCACAGUAAAAGGAAGAGCUUACCACUCAAUCUCCUCUGCAAUAAAGCUCCCUAGCUGUUAAAUUUCACUCACAUACUCAAGGCUUCCAAUCAACUUUUUAAUAUCUCACACUUAAAAACUAAAUUGAGGAUGUCUUGAAUCUCCAGACAUUUCAGAAGU